AAGUCCCGUAACGAGCGCAACCCUCGUCUUUAGUUGCCAUCAUUUAGUUGGGCACUCUAAAGAAACUGCCGGUGGUAAGCCGGAGGAAGGUGGGGAUGACGUCAAGUCCUCAUGGCCCUUACGCGCUGGGCUACACACGUGCUACAAUGGCGGUGACAGAGGGCAGCAAACCCGCGAGGGUGAGCUAAUCUCCAAAAGCCGUCUCAGUUCGGAUUGUUCUCUGCAACUCGAGAGCAUGAAGGCGGAAUCGCUAGUAAUCGCGGAUCAGCACGCCGCGGUGAAUACGUUCCCAGGCCUUGUACACACCGCCCGU
rnacentral:rRNA from 1 species